rnacentral:rRNA from 1 species
AGGGCAGCCAAGUCGUGAGGCGGAGCUAAUCCCUUAAAGCCAUUCUCAGUUCGGAUUGUAGGCUGAAACUCGCCUACAUGAAGCUGGAGUUACUAGUAAUCGCAGAUCAGAAUGCUGCGGUGAGUGCGUUCCCGGGUCUUGUACACACCGCCCGUCACACCACGGAAGUUGGGGGCGCCCGAAGCCACUUAGCUAACCCAUUUGGGAAGCGAGUGUCGAAGGUGAAAUCAAUAACUGGGGUGAAGUCGUAACAAGGUAGC